rnacentral:rRNA from 1 species
UACGUAGGCAGCGAGCGUUGUUCGGAGUUACUGGGCGUAAAGAGCGCGCAGGCGGCCAAGUCAGUCGAAUGUGAAAGCCCCCGGCUUAACUGGGGAGGGUCAUUCGAUACUGCUCGGCUCGAAGACAGGAGAGGGAAGCGGAAUUCCCGGUGUAGUGGUGAAAUGCGUAGGUAUCGGGAGGAACACCAGUGGCGAAGGCGGCUUUCUGGCCUGUUCUUGACGCUGAGGCGCGAAAGCUAGGGGAGCAAACGGG